ACAUUUCAUUUUAGCUUAAACACAAAUAAAUUUAAUUUAAGGCAAAAUAGGGUUACACGAGUCGCAGUACUAACACCAAACGUCAGAAUUAGCGGUACAGAUCGUACAGAUUAAAGGCAUCAGCUGAUCGGUCACACCAACUCAAAAUUACAAGUUACUAAAAAUUCCCAAGUAAUACCAACCUCAUUUUGACGUCACAUGGGGCUGACACCUCUCCUCCCCCGUAAGCGAUUUUGCCCACAUACUCGUUUAUGUGGUAACCUGUUCUCUAUUAACUAACCUUGCGGAAUCAUACGGGAUGUUGGGUUAUGGGGUUAAAAACAAACGUAAAAUUUAUUGUAACAAAGUAAUAGAUACUUACGACACAGUCUUACGAUACAUGUAAAAAAUACUAGAAAAUUCCAGGCUAAAGAGGUCAACAAACUGCAGGUUAAACGAAAUAGUUUAAUUUUCGAUGUGUGCGGGUUUGAGCGGUCCAAGAUUUAUUUUUAAAUUUUAGUGUGUAAAAAAUUCUAACUCUAAUAAAAACUGAGACGAGGUAAUCAAGAGGAAAGUCUUUGCAGGGGUGGUGGAAUGGUAUUUUUGUAUGGUUCGUUUUUUAGCCGCAAACCAGUUAACGAAUACAGUGCAUAAAUUGGGAAAAACUCACAAAAUGUAUUACCCACUACCGGAGUAUAAACUGCAAAAUGUUCAGGUGGCAUCAUUAAAUCGCCAAAAAUCACAUCUUCAUUGAAAACUUUAAAAUGUCACAGAAUUAAAACAGGAUGUACCACUUCGUAAGAAUGUGCAAAGUUCUCACAAACUUCGCAGAAGUGGUGGUGUAAGAAUUUUCGUAUUAAUGAAUAUCCACAAACAUACCAUAAACAGUUGUGUUCUUUCAAGGUGAGUUUCCGGUAACUCACAUCACUUAAUGAUUCUUGAAGAGACCGGAAUACAGGGAAGAUGUGUUGUGGAAGUUUAUUUAAAAGAACACCUUAGCAAAUUUUUCAUUUCAAAUAAAAUAGUGUUUCACAGUUGGUUCUUGCACUUGUAUCGAAAUAAUCUGUAGUAAAUAGUUUCCGAAACGUUCUUUGGAAUUCUAUUGGUGUGGGAUUUAUACAAUUCCCAAAUUGACGCCUCACAGAGCCAAACAAAUAUGUCAAACAAUACUGAUUUAGUUGCAGCAACCUUUUAGUGAAAAUUGUAAACAAAUUGUAUUCUGUGAAAACUAUUAAAAAUAAUAAGCAAAAUGUUUAUGUUCCUGAAGUUGUUUUUUAUUUUUUUGUGAGUGAUUUAAAAAUAUUAAGAGUGAAUUAAAAAUUUUGCAAUUCACUUGUGGAUAACAACUUGUUUGUCAGACUUGUUAAGGUUUUAAUAAACGCAGUUUAAAACGUCAAAAUUGAAUAAUAGUUAUUUGGAUCACAAGUCCAGAAAAUGACUUUUUGCGAGUGUGAGUGGAUAUUGCGAAGCCGAGGCGCUAGCCGAGGCGGAGCAACACGAGCACUCGCAAAACAUUUUCUGGACGUGUAAUCCACAAAAUUUUUCAUGCCGACAUAAAUUAAAUUUGCUCAAAAUAUUUAAAAAUUACUCCAUCAAAAGAGGCUGUAGGAAUUUAUUUUUUUUUUCGGUUGGUACCACUAAUCCAAUGCAGACAAGAUUUUCGAAUUUAAAAUGCAUUCAUGACGUUUAAGAUUCAUAAUUUUGACAUCUUUAUAUCAUUUCCUCGAAAACUAUUAGUAAUAAGUAAUGGAAACUCCAGCUCACACAAAAGAAACCGCUGAAAGUGUAAUUGAUAACUUAUUACCUGAAAAAUCUGGUCCUCGUUACUGGAAAGCAUACGAUGAGUUCCAGAAGUGGUGUAAAGACAAUAAUAGGAAAAACGUUUACAAUGAAUAUGUUUUCCUUGCAUAUUUUGACGACAACGCUUAAUGUUAAACACAAUAUCAGAAUAGCAAGUUAUGCAAAACUGAUUGCUUUUUUAAAAAGAAAAAAGGAUGAUUACGUGCCAAGAAAAUCUAAAUAUCUUAAAAUUGAAGACAUGGAAAAAUUUAUAACACAUGCUCCAGAUGAGGAUUAUCUAUUAAUGAAAACAGCGUUAACAAUUGGUGUGAGUGCAGCUUGUCGCAGGGAUGAAUUAACAAAAAACAGAGUAAACGAUGUAAAAGAUAAAGGUGAUGUAAUUAUUAUAACAAUCCCUAAUAGUCCAGUCAUUUUAGGAUAAAAAAGGGAUCAAUCUCGGAAUGAGAGAUAAUAAGCUGAAUUUUUGUAUAUACCUUAAUUUUAGCGUUUUAAAAGUUGUGUCAAAAGUCUCAUAAAAUCUCGUGUCUGCGUCGUAAGUUAUUCAAGGUCAAAGAUGAAGAAAAACAGUUUUUUGCGAUUAUCUCGGUUUCUAUUCCUCCAGUGAUGUUAACAUCUAUUAUCAUAAUUGUAGAGCACAAAAUUUGGGACAAAUUUUAUUUGAAACAUUUUUUCAUGCGCUCAAUCGUUUUUGAGAUAGAGGGCAGUGAGCGCGCAGCGCUCAUCCAUACGUACUGUAAUGCAAUCAACCGUGAAUAUCUAUGAAUACUACCUUGAAUUUUGAAAAAUUUGUAUUAUUUAUCAAUUAAUACAUUGUAUUUAAACAUUUUACAUAUUUUCAACAUAUUCAUUGAAUAAUACUUACCUACUUUGUGUAAUUAAAAACGCAUUUAAUGAAAUAUUUAUUGUAUAUCUCAAUUUAUUUAUAUCUUUAAAAUGUGUAAGGUUUUAAAUACUUAUUUUUCUAUCAUGAUUAUAACUGGAAGGUUAGGAAACAACGAUUCAGGGCACCGAAGAUGAUGACGAUGAAACAGAAAUUCCCGAACGUCCAGAAGAUGACGGUAAAGAAGAAAAAAUUAAUACUUUUGUUCUUUAAAUUAUUAAAGAUUUCUAGAUUUUCACUGCAAUUCAAUUUCAAUCGUAAGAAAUGUACAGGUACUGA